rnacentral:rRNA from 1 species
UACGAAGGGGGCUAGCGUUGCUCGGAAUCACUGGGCGUAAAGGGUGCGUAGGCGGGUCUUUAAGUCAGGGGUGAAAUCCUGGAGCUCAACUCCAGAACUGCCUUUGAUACUGGACAUCUUGAGUACGGGAGAGGUGAGUGGAACUCCGAGUGUAGAGGUGAAAUUCGUAGAUAUUCGGAAGAACACCAGUGGCGAAGGCGACUCACUGGCCCGUUACUGACGCUGAGGCGCGAAAGCGUGGGGAGCAAACAGG